GCAUAAAAAAGGGGAGGGAAGGGGGGGGGAGGAGCGGUACCGGGGGGGGAGCCUUCCCCUGCUGUCUUCUGUUAUUCUUGUUGUCGGUUGUUGCUACUGGGCCGUUAUUAUUUCGGAUCAGAAGGGGGAGGACCGGCCCCCAAAGGAACUGACGGUUACCUAAAAAACCUUUUUAUGAGGUUGGGUGGGGGAGCCGGGCUUAUUGGGGGGACGUCCCAGCCAGUCUGCGCUGGGGUUCGCCCUGGAUGGCCCGCCAAUUCUGGGGGACAUGGAUUUGGCAUGAGAAUUGACGACACGCGGUGGUGAGAGUUUCGAUGUAAAUUUGUGUAGGAGACAGGAGAGGUACUUUAUCCUGACGUUUUACAGAAGCACGCUAUACGGCAGAGCGCGUAUAGUAGUGCAGCGUGUCCGAUUAUGGGGUAAGGAGGCAGCGGUUUUUAGUUGAUUGAAGCCCCGGUUCACCGGGAGGUCAUGGAACUGGAGACUGAGGCAGAGAGAGAGGGAAUUCAUGGGAGCGUGAAUGGGAGAAUAGGAGGACACCAGGGGGAGGCGGUUUUUGUCGUAAUGACGUGAGGUUGAAAGGUGGGAGCAACAGGAUAGAUACCUGGUGUCCAGCCGUAACGAUGAGUGUAAGUGUGGAGGGUUCCGCCCUUCAGUGUGCAGUUACGCAUUAGCACUCCGCCUGGGAGACGACCGCAAGGUUGAAUCAAAGGAAUGACGGGGGCCCGCACCAGCGGUGAGCAUGUGGUUAAUUGAAGCAACGCGAAGAACCUUACCCGGUCUUGACUCCUUUACCACUCUAGAGAAGAGUUCCCCUUGGGGGCAAAGGACCGGUGGUGCCUGGUUGUUGUCAGCUUGUGUCGUGAGAUGUUGGGUUAAGUCCCGCAACGAGCGCAACCCUUAUUGUUAGUUGCCCUCCUUCAGUUGGGCACUUUAGCAAGACUGCCGGUGACAAACCGGAGGAAGGUGGGGAUGACGUCAAAUCAUCCUGCCCCUUAUGACCUGGGCUACCCACGUGGUACAAUGGGAAGUACAACGAGUUGGGAAGUUGCGGGGGUUAGGUAAUUUUUUAAAGCUUUUUUCAGUUUGGAUUGCCGGCUGCAACUUGCCUGCCUGAAGCCGGAAUCGGUUGUAAUCGCGGAUCAGCCCGCCGCGGUGAAUACGUUCCCGGGCCUUGUACACCCCGCCCGUCACCCCCCGAGAGUUUGUAACCCCCGAAGUCGGUGAGGUAACCUUUUUGGAGCCAGCCGCAUGAAGGCACGAUAUUUUUGUGAUAAUUUCCUACACAUUGGCCCCU
rnacentral:rRNA from 1 species